rnacentral:rRNA from 1 species
AAUGUUGUCUCUCUUGAGUGGAUCCUGAGUACGACGGAGCACGUGAAAUUCCGUCGGAAUCUGGGAGGACCAUCUCCUAAGGCUAAAUACUCUCUAGUGACCGAUAGUGAACCAGUACCGUGAGGGAAAGGUGAAAAGCACCCCGGAAGGGGAGUGAAACAGAACCUGAAACCGUGUGCUUACAAGUAGUCAGAGCCCGUUAAUGGGUGAUGGCGUGCCUUUUGUAGAAUGAACCGGCGAGUUACGAUUUGAUGCAAGGUUAAGCAGUAAAUGUGGAGCCGUAGCGAAAGCGAGUCUGAAUAGGGCGUUUAGUAUUUGGUCGUAGACCCGAAACCAGGUGAUCUACCCUUGGUCAGGUUGAAGUUCAGGUAACACUGAAUGGAGGACCGAACCGACUUACGUUGAAAAGUGAGCGGAUGAACUGAGGGUAGCGGAGAAAUUCCAAUCGAACCUGGAGAUAGCUGGUUCUCUCCGAAAUAGCUUUAGGGCUAGCCUCAAGUGAUGAUUAUUGGAGGUAGAGCACUGUUUGGACGAGGGGCCCCUCUCGGGUUACCGAAUUCAGACAAACUCCGAAUGCCAAUUAAUUUAACUUGGGAGUCAGAACAUGGGUGAUAAGGUCCGUGUUCGAAAGGGAAACAGCCCAGACCACCAGCUAAGGUCCCAAAAUAUAUGUUAAGUGGAAAAGGAUGUGGCGUUGCCCAGACAACUAGGAUGUUGGCUUAGAAGCAGCCAUCAUUUAAAGAGUGCGUAAUAGCUCACUAGUCGAGUGACACUGCGCCGAAAAUGUACCGGGGCUAAACAUAUUACCGAAGCUGUGGAUUGUCCUUUGGACAAUGGUAGGAGAGCGUUCUAAGGGCGUUGAAGCAUGAUCGUAAGGACAUGUGGAGCGCUUAGAAGUGAGAAUGCCGGUGUGAGUAGCGAAAGACGGGUGAGAAUCCCGUCCACCGAUUGACUAAGGUUUCCAGAGGAAGGCUCGUCCGCUCUGGGUUAGUCGGGUCCUAAGCUGAGGCCGACAGGCGUAGGCGAUGGAUAACAGGUUGAUAUUCCUGUACCACCUAUA